UUGGACGACAUACUAAACUAUGACGUUUUUGUCCAUUUUUGGAUGACAUGCUAAACUAUGACGUUUUUGGUCCAUUUUGGAUGACAUGCUAAACUAUGACGUUUUCGAUCCAUUUUUGGAUGACAUACUAAACUAUGACAUUUUUGGUCCAUUUUUGGACGACAUACUAAACUAUGACGUUUUUGUCCAUUUUUGGAUGACAUACUAAACUAUGACAUUUUUGGUCCAUUUUUGGACGACAUACUAAACUAUGAAAUUAAAGAUCCAUUUUUGGAUGACAUACUAAACUAUGACGUUUUUGUCAUAUUUUGGACGACAUACUAAACUAUGACGUUUUUGGUCCAUUUUUGGACGACAUACUAAACUAUGAUGUUUUUGUCCAUUUUUAGACGACAUACUAAACUAUGACGUUUUUGUCCAUUUUUGGACGACAUACUAAAAUAUGAUGUUUUUGUCAAAUUUUGGAUGACAUACUAAACUAUGACGUUUAAGAUCCAUUUUUAGACGACAUACUAAACUAUGACGUAUUUGAUCCAUUUUUGGAUGACAUGCUAUGACAUUUUUGGACGACAUACUAAACUAUGACAUUUAAGAUCCAUUUUUGGACGACAUACUAAACUAUGACGUAUUUGUCAUAUUUUGGACGACAUACUAAACUAUGACGUAUUUGUCAUAUUUUGGACGACAUACUAAACUAUGACGUAUUUGAUCCAUUUUUGGAUGACAUGCUAUGACAUUUUUGGACGACAUACUAAACUAUGAAAUUAAAGAUCCAUUUUUGGAUGACAUACUAAACUAUGACGUUUUUGUCAUAUUUUGGACGACAUACUAAACUAUGACGUUUUUGUCAUAUUUUGGACGACAUACUAAACGAUGAUUUUUUUGGUCCAUUUUUGGACGACAUACUAAACUAUGAAAUUAAAGAUCCAUUUUUGGAUGACAUACUAAACUAUGACGUUUUUGUCAUAUUUUGGACGACAUACUAAACUUUGAUGUUUUUGUCCAUUUUUAGACGACAUACUAAACUAUGACGUUUUUGAUCCAUUUUUGGACGACAUACUAAACUAUGACGUAUUUGUCAUAUUUUGGACGACAUACUAAACUAUGACGUAUUUGUCAUAUUUUGGACGACAUACUAAACUAUGACGUAUUUGAUCCAUUUUUGGAUGACAUGCUAUGACAUUUUUGGACGACAUACUAAACUAUGAAAUUAAAGAUCCAUUUUUGGAUGACAUACUAAACUAUGACGUUUUUGUCAUAUUUUGGACGACAUACUAAACUAUGACGUUUUUGUCAUAUUUUGGACGACAUACUAAACUAUGACGUUUUUGUCAUAUUUUGGACGACAUACUAAACGAUGAUUUUUUUGGUCCAUUUUUGGACGACAUACUAAACUAUGAAAUUAAAGAUCCAUUUUUGGAUGACAUACUAAACUAUGACGUUUUUGUCAUAUUUUGGACGACAUACUAAACUUUGAUGUUUUUGUCCAUUUUUAGACGACAUACUAAACUAUGACGUUUUUGGUCCAUUUUUGGACGACAUACUAAACUAUGACGUUUUUGGUCCAUUUUUGGACGACAUACUAAACUAUGACGUUUUUGUCAUAUUUUGGACGACAUACUAAACUAUGACGUUUUUGUCAUAUUUUGGACGACAUACUAAACUAUGACGUUUAAGAUCCAUUUUUAGACGACAUACUAAACUAUGAUGUUUUUGUCAUAUUUUGGACGACAUACUAAACUAUGACGUUUUUGUCCAUUUGUAGACGACAUACUAAACUAUGACGUUUUUGAUCCAUUUUUAGACGACAUACUAAACUAUGAUGUUUUUGUCAUAUUUUGGACGACAUACUAAACUAUGACGUUUAAGAUCCAUUUUUGGACGACAUACUAAACUAUGAC